rnacentral:rRNA from 1 species
GACGAACGCUGGCGGCGUGCUUAACACAUGCAAGUCGAACGGAAAGGCCCUGCUUUUGUGGGUUGCUCGAGUGGCGAACGGGUGAGUAACACGUGAGUAACCUGCCCUUGACUUUGUGAUAACUUCAGGAAACUCGGGCUAAUACCGGAUAGGAGCUCCUGCUGCAUGGUGGUGGUUGGAAAGUUUCGGCGGUUGGGGAUGGACUCGCGGCUUAUCAGCUUGUUGGUGGGGUAGUGGCUUACCAAGGCUUUGACGGGUAGCCGGCCUGAGAGGGUGACCGGCGACAUGGGGACUGAGGGACGGAGCAGACUCCUACGGGAGGCAGCGGUGGGGAAUAUUACACAAUGGGCGGAAGCCUGAUGCGGCAACGCCGCGUGCGGGAUGACGGCCUUCGGGUUGUAAACCACUUUCGCCGGUGACGAAGCGGGAGUGACGGUAAUGGGUAAAAAAGCACCGGCUAACUACGUG